rnacentral:rRNA from 1 species
GAUUGAACGCUGGCGGCAGGCUUAACACAUGCAAGUCGAGCGGGGAAAGGUAGCUUGCUACUUGACCUAGCGGCGGACGGGUGAGUAAUGCUUAGGAAUCUGCCUAUUAGUGGGGGACAACAUCUCGAAAGGGAUGCUAAUACCGCAUACGUCCUACGGGAGAAAGCAGGGGACCUUCGGGCCUUGCGCUAAUAGAUGAGCCUAAGUCGGAUUAGCUAGUUGGUGGGGUAAAGGCCUACCAAGGCGACGAUCUGUAGCGGGUCUGAGAGGAUGAUCCGCCACACUGGGACUGAGACACGGCCCAGACUCCUACGGGAGGCAGCAGUGGGGAAUAUUGGACAAUGGGGGGAACCCUGAUCCAGCCAUGCCGCGUGUGUGAAGAAGGCCUUUUGGUUGUAAAGCACUUUAAGCGAGGAGGAGGCUACCGAGAUUAAUACUCUUGGAUA